rnacentral:rRNA from 1 species
UGAAGCUGGAGUUACUAGUAAUCGCAGAUCAGAAUGCUGCGGUGAAUGCGUUCCCGGGUCUUGUACACACCGCCCGUCACACCACGGAAGUUGGGGGCGCCCGAAGCCACUUAGCUAACCCUUUUGGGAAGCGAGUGUCGAAGGUGAAAUCAAAUAACUGGGGUGAAGUCGUAACAAGGUAUC